rnacentral:rRNA from 1 species
GACGAACGCUGGCGGCGUGCUUAACACAUGCAAGUCGAACGGUGAAGCGCCUUCCUUUUUGGUGGGUGUGGAUGAGUGGCGAACGGGUGAGUAAAACGAGAGUAACCUGCCCCCUUCUGCUGGAUAACCGCAUGAAAGUGUGGCUAAUACGGGAUAUUAUGGACCUGUCGCAUGAUGGGUCUGGGAAAGAUAUUGUUUCGGUGGGGGAUGGGCUCGCGGCCUCUCAGCUUGUUGGUGGGGUGACGGCCUACCAAGGCGGUGACGGGUAGCCGGCCUGGGAGGGUGGACGGUCCCACUGGUGCGGAGCCGCCGCCAAGACUCCUACGGGAGGCAGCGGGGGGGAAUAUUGCACAAUGGGCGCAAUCCUGAUGCAGCGACGCCGCGUGAGGGAUGGAGGCCUUCGUGUUGUGAACCUCUUUCGCCAGUGAAGCAGGCCUGCCUCGUUUGUGGGUGGGUUGACGGUAGCUGGAUAAGAAGCGCCGGCUAACUACGUG